GGAAGUAAAAGUCGUAACAAGGUCUCCGUUGGUGAACCAGCGGAGGGAUCAUUACAGAGUUAUCUAAACUCCCAAACCCAUGUGAACAUACCUCGCGUUGCCUCGGCAGGUGGCGUCCUACCCCGCGAGACCUACCCUGUAGGACCCGUACCCGGUAAGGCGACCCUGCCGACGGCCCCCGAAACUCUGUUUUUUAUAGCAUUGGACUUCUGAAACGAUAACUAAAUCAGUUAAAACUUUCAACAACGGAUCUCUUGGUUCUGGCAUCGAUGAAGAACGCAGCGAAAUGCGAUAAGUAAUGUGAAUUGCAGAAUUCAGUGAAUCAUCGAAUCUUUGAACGCACAUUGCGCCCACUAGUAUUCUGGUGGGCAUGCCUGUUCGAGCGUCAUUUCAACCCUUAAGCCCCUGUUGCUUAGCGUUGGGAGCCUACUGAAACUCUCCUGUAGCUCUCCAAAGUCAGUGGCGGAGCCGGUUCGCACUCCAGACGUAGUAGCUUUUACACAUCGCCUGUAGCUUGGACCCGGUCCCCUGCCGUAAAACACCCCCCAUCUUAUAGGUUGACCUCGGAUCAGGUAGGAAUACCCGCUGAACUUAAGCAUAUCAAUAAGCGGAGGA
rnacentral:misc_RNA from 1 species